GACGAACGCUGGCGGCGUGCUUAACACAUGCAAGUCGAACGGUGAAGGGGUCUGCUUUUGUGGGCCCUGGAUGAGUGGCGAACGGGUGAGUAACACGUGAGUAACCUGCCCCCUUCUUCUGGAUAACCGCAUGAAAGUGUGGCUAAUACGGGAUAUUCUGGGUCUGUCGCAUGAUGGGUCUGGGAAAGAUUGCGCCUUUGGGUGUUUUUGGUGGGGGAUGGGCUCGCGGCCUAUCAGCUUGUUGGUGGGGUGAUGGCCUUCCAAGGCGGUGACGGGUAGCCGGCCUGAGAGGGUGGACGGUCACACUGGGACUGAGACACGGCCCAGACUACUACGGGAGGCAGCAGUGGGGAAUAUUGCACAAGGGGCGCAAGCCUGAUGCAGCGACGCCGCGUGAGGGAUGGAGGCCUUCGGGUUGUAAACCUCUUUCGCCAGUGAAGCAGGCCUGCUCCUUGUGGGUGGGUUGACGGUAGCUGGAUAAGAAGCGCCGGCUAACUACGUG
rnacentral:rRNA from 1 species